CAGUAGCCGCGGGAAUACAGAGGUCUCAAGCGUUGUUCGGAUUCAUUGGGCGUAAAGGGUGCGUAGGUGGCGGUGUAAGUCUAACGUGAAAUCUCGGGGCUCAACCUCGAAAUUGCGUCGGAUACUGCAUUGCUAGAGGAUUGUAGAGGAGAGUGGAAUUCAUGGUGUAGCAGUGAAAUGCGUAGAUAUCAUGAGGAAGACCAGUUGCGAAGGCGACUCUCUGGGCAAUUCCUGACACUGAGGCACGAAGGCUAGGGGAGCAAACGGGAUUAGAUACCCGGGUAGUCCCUGUCUCUUAUAC
rnacentral:rRNA from 1 species